rnacentral:piRNA from 1 species
UGUAUCGUCUGAUAUAUGUAU